rnacentral:rRNA from 1 species
UGGCUCAGGACGAACGCUGGCGGCGUGCCUAAUACAUGCAAGUGGAACGCACAGAUGAUACGUAGCUUGCUACAAUUAUCUGUGAGUCGCGAACGGGUGAGUAACGCGUAGGUAACCUAGCUUAUAGCGGGGGAUAACUAUUGGAAACGAUAGCUAAUACCGCAUAAAAGUGGUUGACCCAUGUUAACUAUUUAAAAGGAGCAACAGCUCCACUAUGAGAUGGACCUGCGUUGUAUUAGCUAGUUGGUAGGGUAAAGGCCUACCAAGGCGACGAUACAUAGCCGACCUGAGAGGGUGAACGGCCACACUGGGACUGAGACACGGCCCAGACUCCUACGGGAGGCAGCAGUAGGGAAUCUUCGGCAAUGGGGGGAACCCUGACCGAGCAACGCCGCGUGAGUGAAGAAGGUUUUCGGAUCGUAAAGCUCUGUUGUUAGAGAAGAACAGUGAUGGGAGUGGAAAGUCCAU